UAUUGUUUCAACGGAAAAAUGUUUGAAAAAAAGUUGACAUUUGACCAGACAUAUUGCUGGGGUUUCUGACAAGAACCGCAACAAUAUAUUAAAAACUUAAUAUUUUAAUAUAUUGCUGCGGUUUUUGUCAAAAACUGCAGCAAUAUAUCUCACCAAAAAAAUAAAACCUUAAAUUUGAGUUAAGUGGGGCUCCCCUCUCUCUUUCAAAUCUCCCUCCCAUAUAUCCCUCUCUCUUGUUAACCCUAAAAAAUACUCCCAACUUCUCUCUCUUCCCUCUCCCAGCCGCUCUCUCUCUUCCCUCUCUCUCUCGAAAUUCCGGUCUCCCUCUCUCUCUUGUAAACCCGAAAAUCUCCAUCUCUCUCUUCCUUUUCGUUCGCCCUGCAGCUUCCCUCCUCAAAAACCCACUGGCAGUUCAGUUCAUUCAUGGAUGAACGUUGAGUUCGUUCGUCCCUCCUCACCCACCGGUAGGUUUUCUUUUCUCCUAAAACUCGAAACCCUUAAUCCCUCACUCUCCAGAUCUCCGGCGCUUCCUCCCUCCUCACCCACCGGUAGGUCGUUCGUCGUUCGUUUUUAGAGCAAUGGGUCUCGGCUAUUCUUCUUAUCUAGGGAAGGUUAUGCAAAUUCAGUAAAACAUUAUGCGUAUUAAAGAACCCCGGGACGAGAAUAGUUGAUUGGAGCGGGUGAGCAGGAAGAUGGACUUUUCUUUUUCCGGGGCGUUCAAAAGGUAAAAAUCAUGGUUAUGGAUGUCAUGGCAUCUAUAGAUAUCUGGCAUAAGUGUUUAGGUCACCCUUCGAAUAAAGUUUUAAUUUACGUCAUUUACCGUGUGUAAGUCCUUCUAGUGUUAGUAGUUGCAAUAACGAUGGGUGUGAUGUCUGUUUUCAUGCUCAUCAACCUAGAACUAGUUUUCUUAAGAGUAAUAGUAGAGCUAGUAGGUUUUUUGAGUUAUUUCAAUUGUGAUUUAUGGGGGCCAAUAUCACAUUAAGUCAAGUUGUGGUGCUUCAUAUUUUUUAUUUAUAGUGGAUGCUUUUUCUCGCAUUGUUUGGACGUAUUUAUUAUAUAAUAAAUUGGAAGUUGAGACUAUGUUUAUUUGUGGCUUUGAUUGAUCGCAAAUUUGAACAGAAAAUCAAAUGCGUGCGUAGUGAUAAUGGAACUGAAUUUAACUACCUUAAACCAUACUUUGUGCACCAGGGAAUUAUUUUUGAAACUUCUUGUACUAAAACUCCACAACAAAAUGGACGAGUUGAAAGGAAACAUCUACAUAUUUUAAAUGUGGCACGUGCUUUGAGAUUUCAGGAUCACCUACCUUUAAAAUUUUGGUGGGGAUUGUAUGUAGGCAGCUUGUCAUUUAAUGAAUCGAACUCCAUUUGUUGUUCUUGAUUAUAAAACUCCCUAUGAGUGUUUGUUUGGUAAACCCCCUAAAAUGACUGAUAUAAGGAUUUUUGGGUGUUUGUAUUAUGCCUACAAUGUUUCUCAUGGAGGUGAUAAGUUUGCCAGUAGGAGCCGUCGAUGUGUUUUUGUUUGUUAUUCUUAUACCCAGAAAGGAUGGAAAUUAUACGACUUAGAAACCAAAAAAUAUUUUGUUUCC